rnacentral:rRNA from 1 species
GUGCUUAACACAUGCAAGUCGUACGAGAACACCCUAGCUUGCUAGGGCCAGUAAAGUGGCGCACGGGUGAGUAACGCGUGGGUAAUCUACCUUCGAAUUGGGGAUAACGUUGCGAAAGCGACGCUAAUACCGAAUAAUAUCCAUAGGUCUUGGGAUUUUUUGGAUCAAGGAUGGCCGCUACAUGUAAGCUAUUGUUUGAAGAUGAGCCCGCGUACCAUUAGCUUGUUGGUGGGGUAACGGCCUACCAAGGCGACGAUGGUUAGCUGGUCUGAGAGGAUGAUCAGCCACACUGGAACUGACACACGGUCCAGACUCCUACGGGAGGCAGCAGUGAGGAAUUUUGCGCAAUGGGCGAAAGCCUGACGCAGCAACGCCGCGUGAGUGAUGAAGGCCUUCGGGUCGUAAAGCUCUGUCAAGUGGGAAGAACCUAUGCAGUGUUAAUACCACUGUGUACUGACGGUACCACUGAAGGAAGCACCGGCUAACUCCGUG